GUACUUGCUUUAGCAACACAUAUACCUAAAUUGGAACUAUACAAAGAAGAUUAGCAUAACCACUGCACAAAGAUGACAUGAAGUUUGUCAAGUGUUCCAUGCUUUU
ensembl:snRNA U6 U6 spliceosomal RNA